rnacentral:rRNA from 1 species
UACGUAGGGUGCGAGCGUUAAUCGGAAUUACUGGGCGUAAAGCGUGCGUAGGCGGUCCGCAAAGUCUGAUGUGAAAGCCCCGGGCUCAACCUGGGAACUGCAUUGGAAACUACCGGGCUCGAGUGUGGCAGAGGGGGGUGGAAUUCCACGUGUAGCAGUGAAAUGCGUAGAGAUGUGGAGGAACACCGAUGGCGAAGGCAGCCCCCUGGGCUAACACUGACGCUCAGGCACGAAAGCGUGGGGAGCAAACAGG